AUUGGCUUUUGUAAGUCACCGUGUCAUCUGUAACUGGUUUCUUCAGACUUAACCCUUAAGGAUGAGGCUUGAAAAAAUGGUUGAGGGAAUUACCCAUCUAGUUUAGGCCUCUGUUUUCUACUUCUGGUUUUGGAAAGCAUGUACCAAGGCCCAGAAUCUCUGGGUUCUUGAUGUUUGUGACUUCGUUUUUUUUGGUUUUUUUUUUUUUAGGGCCACACCUGCAGCAUAUGGAAGUUCCCAGGCUAGCAGUCGAAUUGGAGCUACAGAUGCCAGCCUACACCAUAGCCAUAGCAACACGGGAUCUGAACCUCGUCUGUGAUCUACGCCACACUCACGGCAAUGCCAGACCCAAGACAUGUCUGCGAACUACACUACAGCUCACAGCAACACCGGAUCAUUAACCCACUGAGCGAGGCCAGGGAUUGAACCCACAUCCUCAUGGAUACUAGUCGGGCUCAUUACUGAGCCACAAUGGGAACUUCCUUCCUGGCUUUUUUGGGAGGAGAGUGCAUUCUAGACAAAUGGACUGUCUUUAUUACUUACCUGAGCUUUAGUCUAAAAUGCCUGGCUGAUCUCUUUCCCUAGUGAGCUGUCCCCAGCCAUUGAUGAAGAGCAUCUUUUUUGUUUUUGUCUUUUUCCCUUUGAUGAAGACUUGAUCCAAGGCAUUUGUUCUCAAAGCUUACCAGACAUCAAAACCACUUGGCCAGGGGUUAAGGAUCUGGCACUGCCGUGAGCUCAGAUCUGGUGUUGCUGUGGCUUUGGUGUAGGCCUGCAGCUGUAGCUCUGAUUCGACGCCUAGCCUGGGAACUAUGCUUCAGGUACAGCUCUAAAAAGACAAAAUAAACAAACAAACAAAAAAGUCUUACCAAGACAGGUUCACUAUCCCAUAAAGUCAGAGAAAAAAACAGGUAAAUUAUAUAUUCCUCUCCCCAGGAAACACUUCAUUUUUACAUAUCCUAAAGGUUGAUUUGUCUUGCAUCCUAUCAAACAAAUUUUUUUGCAGUCAUGGCUUAAAUUCACUGUUACAAAAAUUAUGAACGUGCAAAUGAUUUAUUUCGGGAAGAUCAUAAUCCUGUUAAGCAAAGGAUUUCCUAAAUAUUGAGGAAUGACACCUCAGAAAGCAUCGAUUUUGGGUAGGGCCUUGAUGCUCUGAACCUCUGCCAGAGUCCUCCUUCACCAGGAUUGGUUCUUAAACCUGAGACUCUGCCUGAGUCCUUCAGGGAAACUUAACUGUGAAGGAAGAGGUGAAUAGCAAGGCCCUGUCAGGUCAGAGAACCACAGUCAUAGACAACCUCUUUUAAUACAAUUUCAGCCGCUUAACAUGUUCAAGAAAAUCUUGGAUGGCUGGCAUGUGAACCCAGAAGUUAUUUCCAAGGGAACUGCUGCAAACAGCCAAUAUCCAAAUGAUCUUUUGAUGCAAAUCAAUUCGUUUCUUGGGAAACUACAUCAUCAUAUUCGAAUUUCCUUGAAAAGUGGUCAUUACAGACUGAAUUAUAUGUUAACAGUUAUUCAUUAUCUUCAAAUUAUGCUGAUCCUACAUACCCCAGAUAACCAAGCAUCUUUGAAAUGUGUUUUAUAAAAUUCUGGUAUAAUGAAGUCUGUAAUAUGAUCAUAAAUGUCACCUAAUAAAUUUAUAAAGGCAAUUCACUUUAGUAUUUUUAUUAUCUGUUUUGUAAUUAUUACAUUUUGAGAAAGUUACAUUUGCCUCUGGUUAUGUGUAAUGCCGAGGCAGGGGAGUCAAAGAGCAGAUAUUUGUUGUUUUUAUUUUAUUCAUAUUCAAUUUGGGUCUUUUAUAAGCUCCAGGAAAUUGUUUUGAAUCUGGUGGUGCUUUAUUGAUACAUAUAUUUAUUACAUAUUUAUGAUGGAUUUAAUAGAUGUAUCAUGACAAAGGCCUUAGGUUUCUUGUAGUUCAGAAUUCCUUAAGGACUAAAUUCAGCAACUCCAUAAUCUGUUUUAUUUCCAAAUAAUGAAAGUUUCAGAGUUAAUACCUAAGUUUUAGUUAGUAUUAUUAAGUAACUUCUUCCUAUUUUUUUAUUUAAGAUUUUUAUUUUUUCAGAGUUCCCGUAGUGGCACAACAGAAACGAAUCCAACUAGGAACCGUGAGGUCGCAGGUUCGAUCCCUGGCCUCGCUCAGUGGGUUAAGGAUCCGGCAUUGCCCUGAGCUGUGGUGUAGGUUGCAGGUGCAGCUCGGACCUGUUGUUGCCAUGGCUGUGGCGUAGGCCAGCAGCUGUAGCUCUGAUUCAACCCCUAGCCUGGCAACCUCCACAUGCCGUGAGUACAGCCCUAAAAAGACAAAAAAAAAAAAAAAAAAAAAAAAAAAAAA
rnacentral:lncRNA from 1 species